UGGGGAAUAUUGCACAAUGGGCGCAAGCCUGAUGCAGCCAUGCCGCGUGUGUGAAGAAGGCCUUCGGGUUGUAAAGCACUUUCAGCGGGGAGGAAGGCGAUAAGGUUAAUAACCUUGUCGAUUGACGUUACCCGCAGAAGAAGCACCGGCUAACUCCGUGCCAGCAGCCGCGGUAAUACGGAGGGUGCAAGCGUUAAUCGGAAUUACUGGGCGUAAAGCGCACGCAGGCGGUUGAUUGAGUCAGAUGUGAAAUCCCCGGGCUUAACCCGGGAAUUGCAUCUGAUACUGGUCAGCUAGAGUCUUGUAGAGGGGGGUAGAAUUCCAUGUGUAGCGGUGAAAUGCGUAGAGAUGUGGGGGAAUACCGGUGGCGAAGGCGGCCCCCUGGACAAAGACUGACGCUCAGGUGCGAAAGCGUGGGGAGCAAACAGG
rnacentral:rRNA from 1 species